rnacentral:rRNA from 1 species
UGCAUCGAUGAAGAACGCAGCGAAACGCGAUAGGUAAUGUGAAUUGCAGAAUUCCGUGAAUCAUCGAAUCUUUGAACGCACCUUGCGCUCCAUGGCAUUCCGUGGAGCAUGCCUGUUUGAGUGCCGCGAAAUCUCCCACCCCUAGCGGUUGCCGCAAGGCGCCGCCGGGCGGCGGGGUUGGUUGGGUGCCGCUGCCUGGGCUUUGGCCCAGGCUCGCCCGAAAUGCAUGAGCGCUUAGCACCCGCACCGUCUCGAGGGAAGGCGGCGGAGCUGGCAUCUGCGCAUGGCAUGAUACGUCAUUUGCUGUGUGGCAGCCCAGCGACCCGAGAGUGUGUGUGCGCUACUACACGCCCUUUCAUUUCUGGUCUCAAAUCAGGUAGGAUCACCCGCUGAACUUAAGCAUAUCAAUAAGCGGAGGA